CUUUGAUUUCUUUCUCAAAGAAACAAACAAUUUCAACGAGCAUCAACCUUCAAUUGGCGUUGAGGGAAUUUUGUCACUAUAUGAAUCCUCAUUUUAUUUAGUAGAAGAAGAAACUAUAUUAGAUGAUGCAAAAAAAUAUAGUUCAAAGAUUCUCAAAGAAUAUGUAAAAAGAAAUUAUGAUAGCUACAUAUCCCUCUUAAUCAAUCAUUCAUUGGAGUAUCCAUUACAUUGGAGGGUGCCAAGAUGGGAGGCUUUUUGGUUCAUCAACACAUAUGAAAAAAGUCGCAAUUUGAAUCCUACACUUCUUCAGUUUGCUAAAUUGGAUUUCAACAUCAUUCAAAGCAUUUACCAAGAAGAGUUGAAGGAUAUGUCAAGGUGGUGGAAGAGAACCUACUUAGCAGAGAAGUUAAGUUUUGCAAGAGAUAGGUUGAUGGAAAACUUCUUUUGGACCGUGGGAGUGAAUUUUAAUCCAGAAUUUGGUUCCUUUAGAAGAGCUAUAACAAAGGUCAAUUGCUUCAUAAAUACGAUAGAUGAUAUGUAUGAGACCUUUGGCACUUUAGAAGAUUUAGAGCUAUUUACUAAAGCUGUUGAAAGAUGGGAUCUAAGUUUUGGUAUGGACAACCUUCCAUACUACAUGAAAAUAUGCUUCCUUGCACUCUAACUUUGUUAACGAAGUAGCUUUCGAAUGCCUACAAAAUAAUGAAGUUUAUAUUGUUCCUUACCUUAGAAAAUCGUGGGCAGAUUUAUGUAAGGCAUAUUUUGCUGAGGCAAAGUGGUACUAUAGUGGUUAUAUACCAACUCUUGAGGAGUACUUGGAGAAUGGUUGGAGAUCUUCAGGCUCACAUGUUGUUUUUCUUCAUGCUUAUUUCACAAUUCCAAAUGCAUUAAACAAGGAGGAAUUGGAUUCCUUAAAGGAAUAUCCCAAUAUAAUUCGUCUUACAUCAUUGUUUUGCCGCCUUGUUAAUGACCUUGGUACAUAUAAGCGUGAGAAAGAGACUGGAGAUGCUCCUUCUUCAAUUCAAUGCUACAUGAACAAAAGUGGAGCUUCAGAGGCAGAGGCAUGUGAACAUGUUAGAUCAAUUAUGAAUACACUCUGGAAGAACAUAAACAAAGAAACUCAUCAUUCUUUUCUCUCUCAAGAUUUUAUAGACACUAUUUUAGGCCUUACAAGAAUGGUAUUAACCAUGUAUGAUCAUGGAGAUUACCAUACUUUUCAAGAUUCUGAAGCCAAGAGUGGUAUAUUGUCGUUAAUCAUUCAACCAAUUCCUCUUACAUGUUAAUGUCUAUUGUCCAUGAACUACUAAAAUAUAGCAAAUUAUUUGGAAAUUUUAUCCGUGAAUUAUUUUCAUA